rnacentral:rRNA from 1 species
UACGUAGGGAGCGAGCGUUGUCCGGAAUUACUGGGUGUAAAGGGAGUGUAGGCGGGAAGAUAAGUUGGAUGUGAAAACUAUCGGCUCAACCGAUAGACUGCAUUCAAAACUAUUUUUCUUGAGUGAAGUAGAGGCAGGCGGAAUUCCUAGUGUAGCGGUGAAAUGCGUAGAUAUUAGGAGGAACACCAGUGGCGAAGGCGGCCUGCUGGGCUUUUACUGACGCUGAGGCUCGAAAGUGUGGGUAGCAAAC